UACGUAUGUGACCAGCGUUGUCCGGAUUUACUGGGCGUAAAGCGUGCGCAGGCGGCGCCGCAAGUCGAGUGUGAAAUCCCCGAGCUUAACUUGGGAAUUGCGCUCGAAACUACGAUGCUGGAGUGUGGCAGAGGGAGGUGGAAUUCCACGUGUAGCGGUGAAAUGCGUAGAGAUGUGGAGGAACACCGAUGGCGAAGGCAGCCUCCUGGGCCAACACUGACGCUCAUGCACGAAAGCGUGGGGAGCAAACAGG
rnacentral:rRNA from 1 species